CUCCUGUCAUUCCAUUUUACUGUCACUCAAAUAUUUAUGGGAUUUCCCCUCUUUGAGUUCUGCUUAGCGGUUCUUUCGGCUCUGCCCAUUGUAAAUAUAUUUUUCCAUUAUUUCCCAUUAGUUUUCACUCGUUUGUUACAUUCCCCUCCGAUUGUUUCUCUACCCCCAUCCUUAUCCCCAUCCCCAUCCCCUUCUCCGCAUCUCCACAUGGGCCAGUUUGGUUUUUUUUGUGCGUUUGUAGCUUGGUGUUGGUGUUGGUGUUGGUGUUGGCGUGGUUGUUACACAGGUUGCUGUUGUUGGUGAUGGUGAUGGUGCUGUGCUGGUGGUGCAUAUUGGUUAUUAUCUCUGAAGCGCAUCGCUUCGGUGCGUUUGCCGAUGCCGCAGUCGUCGUCUGCCUGCGUCUUGUGCGUACUUGGCCAGAAUGGGUCGAUCUCUGCAUGUAUGUAGCUGUGGCCGAGACGUAGUCCGAGCUUGGUGCUGUGCCUGACUGACGAAAUGAUGUUAACGCGAAACCAGUUUCAUUGACAAUACAUGGAUGAUGGGGCUGUGCGGUUGCAUCUACGAGCAUAGGUGGAGGGGUACGAGCCUCGUCUCCCAGUUUUUUCGGUGUUUUCGCUGACUUUUUGAUGGAUGGUUGACAAAAGGCAGACCGCAGUGACCACUGCCCAUUGCCCAGGGCCUCUUCGUUGGUUUAUUUGUCUUGUUUGAUUCGAGUACACACAUGGAGACGGACACUGUCAUUGUCGUUGUCGUUGCUGUCAAAUCGCGUUAAUAUCACUGAGCUGUCAAAUUACAGAGGCCGCAGAGUCCAAAUGUUUGUCUCUGCCCCACCUCGGGACUGUCCCGACUGGUAACUCAAUUAAACGGCUAUUCAUGAGGCGGAAGACGUGCCAUCCGAUCGGCUGGCGAGGCGCCACCACUCCAUGCAGAUCCGCACCUCUUGGGCCGCUCUGAUUGGGCCAUUUGUCAAACCGCUCAUUGGAUUCGUUUUGUUCAGCGAAUUGGCCAUCUUUGCCAGCCCUGGCCCUUUGGCUCUUCUCGAAUAGCGGACAGUUCCCAACUUAAUUACUUCAUUUAAGUUAGAGCAGAAAGGUCGCACACUCUGCC
rnacentral:lncRNA from 1 species